AUGCAGCAGAUGGCCACCACCGUCACGCUGCUGCUCGGGGCAGCCUCGUCCCCCGGUGAUGGCGCCGCGCGGGACGGCGUCCAGUGCUCCCGCAUGUUGCCUAGGAGGAGGCAGCAGAGGCCGCGGUGGGUGCUCUGCUCGCUCAAGUACGGCUGCCUCGGCGUCGGCGAGCCGGGGGAGGCGGGAACCCGGAGCGCGGCGUCGCCGGUCUACUCCAGCCUCACCGUCAGCCCCGGCGGCGAGGCGGCCGUCGCCGUCGUCUCCUCGGAGCAGAAGGUGUACGACGUGGUGGUGAAGCAGGCGGCAUUGCUCAAGCGCCAGCUCCGGCCACAGCAGGCGGCGCCGCCCGCCGUAGCCAGGGAGCUGGACGCGCCGCGCGGCGGGCUCGGGGAGGCCUACGCCCGCUGCGGCGAGAUCUGCGAGGAGUACGCCAAGACCUUCUACCUCGGGACCUUGCUGAUGACAGAGGAGCGGCGGCGCGCCAUAUGGGCCAUCUACGUAUGGUGCAGGAGGACAGACGAGCUGGUGGACGGUCCCAACGCGUCGCACAUCACGCCGCAGGCGCUGGACCGGUGGGAGAGGAGGCUGGAGGACCUCUUCGCCAGGCGGCCCUACGACAUGCUCGACGCCGCGCUCUCCGACACCAUCACCAAGUUCCCCAUAGAUAUUCAGCCCUUCAAGGACAUGAUCGACGGGAUGCGGACGGACCUCAAGAAGGCGAGGUACACGAACUUUGACGAGCUCUACAUGUACUGCUACUAUGUUGCGGGCACCGUGGGGCUGAUGAGUGUCCCGGUGAUGGGCAUUGCGCCCGAGUCCAAGGCGACGGCUGAGAGUGUCUAUGGCGCCGCUCUGGCUCUCGGGCUCGCGAACCAGCUCACCAACAUACUCAGGGAUGUCGGAGAAGAUGCAAGAAGAGGAAGGAUAUAUUUGCCGCAAGACGAGCUCGCGGAGGCAGGGCUCUCCGAUGAAGACAUCUUCAAAGGGGUCGUCACCGACAAGUGGAGGAAAUUCAUGAAGAGGCAGAUCAAGAGGGCGAGGAUGUUCUUCGAGGAGGCGGAGCGAGGGGUAACCGAGCUCAGGAAGGAGAGCCGGUGGCCAGUUUGGGCCUCUCUGUUGCUAUACCGGCAGAUCCUCGACGAGAUCGAAGCGAACGACUACAACAACUUCACCAGGAGGGCCUAUGUUGGGAAGGCGAAGAAGGUGCUGGCGCUCCCUGUCGCGUACGGGAGAUCGCUGCUCUUACCGUAUUCACUGAGAAAUAACCAGACCUAGAAGAAACAACAAAGCAAGAUGAAGAUGGUCAGGUUAGGCUAGAUAGAAAGAAGCAGGGCGGUGUCGCGACAUCUGCCUUCGAGCUCUUCAUCUGGUCAGUUGGAUAGUCAAUGCGGCGAAUCAGUCAGUACAUUCCUCAGCGAUGAAUGUUGUAUGCAUGACAUGAAGGGCCGGGGAAGGAAGGGAGAAGAACACUGCAGCCAACCGAGAUGGAGACCAAAUGUUUGCAUGUACAUUUGAACACAGAACAAGAUGUAUAUAUAUACUCGUUGUCGGUCCUGAACUAAGGAAACAGGGGCGAUGGGACAUAGAUCAAGGAGGUUCCUUAGGACUAGCUAGCUAGCAGUCCUCAAGACUAGGUUCUACAGUUACAACGGAAACACACGUUACAUGUACUACAGGACAGUCACCUUAUUACAACUCAACAGCAACUUCCAAAGCUAACCUCCCUCGGGGAAGUUGCCAUUGAAGGAGAGCUAACAACCUGAAGCCGGCAAGCGCUCGCCUCGGGGCAUAGGAGUGUAAAGGCCGAUGAUCAGAAUCAGCUUACCAUAUCCAUGAUCAUCGCACACCCUGGUCGCCUGCCCUGAUUGUACUUGGAUUGCGAAGAGGCCUGCAGCUGUGGUCACAAAAAUGACA